AUUGAACGCUGGCGGCAGGCCUAACACAUGCAAGUCGAGCGAGCGGCGGACGGGUGAGUAAUGUCUGGGAAACUGCCUGAUGGAGGGGGAUAACUACUGGAAACGGUAGCUAAUACCCCAUACCAUCAGAUGUGCGCAGAUGGGAUUAGCUGGUAGGUGGGGUAACGGCUCACCCAGGCGACGAUCCCUAGCUGGUCUGAGAGGAUGACCAGCCACACUGGAACUGAGACACGGUCCAGACUCCUACGGGAGGCAGCAGUGGGGAAUAUUGCACAAUGGGGGCAAGCCUGAUGCAGCCAUGCCGCGUGUGUGAAGAAGGCCUUCGGGUUGUAAAGCACUUUCGGCGGGGAGGCGUUACCCGCAGAAGAAGCACCGGCUAACUCCGUGCCAGCAGCCGCGGUAAUAC
rnacentral:rRNA from 1 species